GAUGAACGCUGGCGGCGUGCCUAAUACAUGCAAGUCGAGCGAACAGACGAGGAGCUUGCUCCUCUGACGUUAGCGGCGGACGUGUGAGUAACACGUGGAUAACCUACCUAUAAGACUGGGAUAACUUCGGGAAACCGGAGCUAAUACCGGAUAAUAUAUUGAACCGCAUGGUUCAAUAGUGAAAGACGGUUUUGCUGUCACUUAUAGAUGGAUCCGCGCCGCAUUAGCUAGUUGGUAAGGUAACGGCUUACCAAGGCAACGAUGCGUAGCCGACCUGAGAGGGUGAUAGGCCACACUGGAACUGAGACACGGUCCAGACUCCUACGGGAGGCAGCAGUAGGGAAUCUUCCGCAAUGGGCGAAAGCCUGACGGAGCAACGCCGCGUGAGUGAUGAAGGUCUUCGGAUCGUAAAACUCUGUUAUUAGGGAAGAACAAAUGUGUAAGUAACUAUGCACGUCUUGACGGUACCUAAUCAGAAAGCCACGGCUAACUACGUG
rnacentral:rRNA from 1 species